UUGUGCUUGAAUAUAGGAAUGCUUAUUCAAGUUACAUCUUUCUCUAUCUCUCUUUCCUGGUUAGGCAUGCAUUGAAGAAACAACCAUGCAGUUGCUUAGGAUGUGAAAUUAAUACACAGAUCAAACUACAGCUGAAGAGUGGCAUCCAGACAGGAUUGCACAAAAAUGCAGAGCAUAUAAAUGAACAAUUGAGCAGCAGCUGGUUUGAUAAGCGAAGAUGUGUGUUAUCCGGCAUUUUCUUUGUUAUUUCUUUGACUAUGGUACGCACUCUACAAUCCAGCAAUGACUAUCAUGUUAAGAACUGCAGAAAUGCACAGGGCCCAUAUUGUGGCUAAGAAGAACAUGUUGGAUCAGCUUACUAUAUCGAAAUAAUCAAUAUCAAAUGUGACAGCAUUACUGAAAGUAUCCCUGUUCAGCAAAAAGUAUGGAAGCUAGAAGGCAUGUGGCUAAAAUGCCUAGGACUGUCACUAAUUGUAUAGGAAAUAACCAUAAAGAAAGAUGUAUUUUACAAAAGCUUUGUCAUACUUAAAACAGUAAUGUAAAUUAACCUAGAAAAAGCUAUGUAAUUAUGAAAGACUACAAGUUGUUUCUAGAAAAUACUAUGGUGAGAAGGAUGUGCCCGUUCAAACAGGGCUGAUAAUAAUAGCUAGAGGAAAACUUUUGCAAUGGAUAUUUAAAUGUAGGGGAAAAAUCAGUAGUAGAGGUACAUCAUAAGGAUAUAUUUAAAGACUCGCAUAGUAAAGGAAUUCAUAAAAUUUCUGACUAUGUGGAUUGUAAUAAUGACAAGCUGGAUGAUUUAAAAAGUUGUACUUGCAAAUAAUUUUAUAAAAACAAAAGUAAAA